CAUGCCGAUUCUUGCUGUUACUAGUGGCAAUACACAGGGUGUGUAUCAUAAAAUUCUCAUUCCUGAUAAUUUUUUGAAAAUGGAUUUUCAUCGCGCAUAGUCGGAGUCCAAAAGGUGGCUAUGAAUCUAUCAAUGCAAGACUUUUCAUGGGUCAAUAAUAUGCUGUCUCCGAAUGUUACUGUUAGCACGGGCUUCUUCUUUCCGAAUCAUUUUCUAAAGGCAUCUGUAGGGACGACGUGCCGAUUAUUGUUAUGGUGGGACUUGCAACCAGGAAACUGACGAUGAAGAAGAAAAAAAUAAGAUGUCGCUCAGUUAGUAUUAUUUUUUUCCUUUCCUUUUCUUUUAGAUGUUUUAAAUUUGAAUAUCUCUUUAAUAACUAAAAAAUGACAGAGAAAAGAAAAGGGAUACAAAACUCAUCAAGGAAGCUUAUGGGAGAUGCUUGCUUCGAAAUGAUAGAAGCAUCAGCUAUGUCUGCUCCUGCUGCCAUCUUCUCUAUCUCUUCGCGCACCAAACCCCCCUCUCUUUCUAUAUUCUCUCACGGAAGAAACUCGGUGGUCUCUGCCUUGCCUAGACCCUCCAGUGAUUCUUCGACAAGUCUUAAAGCAAGGGGGGGCAAUCCACCCAUUAUGCCAGCGGUGAUGACUCCAGGAGGACCCUUGGAUUUGUCAUCUGUGUUAUUUAGGAAUCGCAUAAUCUUCAUCGGGCAGCCAAUCAAUUCACAGGUGGCUCAACGAGUCAUUUCACAGCUUGUGACUCUAGCAACUAUCGAUGAGAAUGCAGAUAUUCUGAUGUAUCUGAACUGUCCUGGUGGAAGCACUUACUCUGUUCUGGCAAUCUAUGAUUGCAUGUCUUGGAUAAAGCCUAAAGUGGGCACUGUAUGUUUUGGAGUAGCUGCAAGCCAAGGAGCACUUCUUCUUGCUGGUGGAGAGAAGGGAAUGCGAUAUGCAAUGCCUAAUGCACGUAUUAUGAUACAUCAACCGCAGGGCGGCUGUGGGGUUAGAAUUAAUUUCCUAAUUUCUUUAAUGCUUUUGAGAGCAUGCAAGAGAUUCUUUCUUUACUGGCUAGUUGAAUCGAGAAAAGAUCUCUGUUAGGACAUUCUCCAUAUAAUUUCAUAUCUACAGCUAACUAGUCAUGCUCUAGUCAUGCUUAAGCAUAUAUAUGUGCUGUGCUGAUUGUUUACUUAAAUUAUGAGGGGAAACUUUUAAUUCCUGAAGUUUCUGUUAUCAUGUUUAACUUGCUCUUCUCUUAUAGCAUGCUGGUGCGUGAACUUUUCAUGCAUCUGUGCGUGCAGAAUCCAAAAUGCAAAAACUGCAACAAUAUAAGCCCACUACAAUGCAACAGUUCCAAAAUCUUGGGUCUCUGGAAUGAAUAUAUAUGCAGUAGUCAUUGAUGCAAGUUCCAAUAUUUGCUUGUAGGGUCAUGUGGAGGAUGUGAGACGCCAAGUAAAUGAAGCAGUCCAAGCUCGUCAUCCUGGUUGAACAAGAAUUUGAAACCAAGAUUUUCCUCGUUCAGUUAAGAGCUGAGCACUGCACUGCUGUAUUCUUGAAGAUGAAGUUCAGACUCAAGAAGUUGCGCUUGUUUUGCAAGCACAAUAUUAGUGGGGUGGGAUUUUUUUUUUUUUGGUGGUGGUAAGGGUGGGGGCUAGUUUGUAUGUUAAUGUAGUACUUAUCUAUAAUCAGAGGUCCCAAAACUUUCAUGUUCAAGGCAAAAAGAUUAUUCAAUGUUGACUCAAGUUGUAGAGCUCUCAGAUUAAAACCAGCCUCUAUGCCUUGCUUGCUGAUCA